rnacentral:rRNA from 1 species
UUUUAAUUGGAAACUCGUAUGAAGGGUUGGACAAAGGAUAAUCUGUUUUUAUUUUUAUUUUUGAAUUUAUCUUUUAAGUGAAAAGACUUGAAUAUAUUUAAGGGACGAUAAGACCCUAUAAAUCUUUAUAUUUAACUUAAUGUUUAUAUUGAUUUUUAAUGUAAAUAUAAAAUAAAGAUUAAUAAUGUUAUGUUGGGGUGACAAGAAUAAAAAAUAAACUGUUCUAAAAAUAAACAAAGUUAUUUGAUUAAUAGUAGAUCCUUUUUAAAGAUAUAAGUUUAAGUUACUUUAGGGAUAACAGCGUUAUUUCUUUUGAGAGUUCAAAUCGAAAAAGAAGUUUGCGACCUCCAUGUUGAAUUAAAAUUUCUUUAUAGUGCAGCAGUUAUACAAGAAAGUCUGUUCGACUUUUAAAAUUUUACGUGAUCU